rnacentral:misc_RNA from 1 species
GUCGCAGCUACUAAAGCUUUGGUGCCCAGUUGGAAUAAUUAGUCAGUUUCCAUUUUGCCAGAGCAUUACCCUUCUGUUAUCCUGCCUUUUGUACCAGGAGUCUAUUUAUCUUGGUUGAUUUUGACUUGAUGUUUGAUAUUUCGUGAGGCCUUCUGAGCCUAUCCUAUCUUUAUAGACUUUGAAACUUUGAUUUGGUAUGCU